ACGAACGCUGGCGGCGUGCCUAAUACAUGCAAGUAGAACGCUGAAGAGAGGAGCUUGCUCUUCUUGGAUGAGUUGCGAACGGGUGAGUAACGCGUAGGUAACCUGCCUUGUAGCGGGGGAUAACUAUUGGAAACGAUAGCUAAUACCGCAUAACAAUGGAUGACACAUGUCAUUUAUUUGAAAGGGGCAAUUGCUCCACUACAAGAUGGACCUGCGUUGUAUUAGCUAGUAGGUGAGGUAAUGGCUCACCUAGGCGACGAUACAUAGCCGACCUGAGAGGGUGAUCGGCCACACUGGGACUGAGACACGGCCCAGACUCCUACGGGAGGCAGCAGUAGGGAAUCUUCGGCAAUGGGGGCAACCCUGACCGAGCAACGCCGCGUGAGUGAAGAAGGUUUUCGGAUCGUAAAGCUCUGUUGUAAGUCAAGAACGGGUGUGAGAGUGGAAAGUUCACACUGUGACGGUAGCUUACCAGAAAGGGACGGCUAACUACGUGCCAGCAGCCGCGGUAAUACGUAGGUCCCGAGCGUUGUCCGGAUUUAUUGGGCGUAAAGCGAGCGCAGGCGGUUUGAUAAGUCUGAAGUUAAAGGCUGUGGCUCAACCAUAGUUCGCUUUGGAAACUGUCAAACUUGAGUGCAGAAGGGGAGAGUGGAGUUCCAUGUGUAGCGGUGAAAUGCGUAGAUAUAUGGAGGAACACCGGUGGCGAAAGCGGCUCUCUGGUCUGUAACUGACGCUGAGGCUCGAAAGCGUGGGGAGCGAACAGGAUUAGAUACCCUGGUAGUCCACGCCGUAAACGAUGAGUGCUAGGUGUUGGAUCCUUUCCGGGAUUCAGUGCCGCAGCUAACGCAUUAAGCACUCCGCCUGGGGAGUACGACCGCAAGGUUGAAACUCAAAGGAAUUGACGGGGGCCCGCACAAGCGGUGGAGCAUGUGGUUUAAUUCGAAGCAACGCGAAGAACCUUACCAGGUCUUGACAUCCCGAUGCUAUUUCUAGAGAUAGAAAGUUACUUCGGUACAUCGGUGACAGGUGGUGCAUGGUUGUCGUCAGCUCGUGUCGUGAGAUGUUGGGUUAAGUCCCGCAACGAGCGCAACCCCUAUUGUUAGUUGCCAUCAUUCAGUUGGGCACUCUAGCGAGACUGCCGGUAAUAAACCGGAGGAAGGUGGGGAUGACGUCAAAUCAUCAUGCCCCUUAUGACCUGGGCUACACACGUGCUACAAUGGUUGGUACAACGAGUUGCGAGUCGGUGACGGCGAGCUAAUCUCUUAAAGCCAAUCUCAGUUCGGAUUGUAGGCUGCAACUCGCCUACAUGAAGUCGGAAUCGCUAGUAAUCGCGGAUCAGCACGCCGCGGUGAAUACGUUCCCGGGCCUUGUACACACCGCCCGUCACACCACGAGAGUUUGUAACACCCGAAGUCGGUGAGGUAACCUUUUGGAGCCAGCCGCCUAAGGUGGGACAGAUGAUUGGGGUG
rnacentral:rRNA from 1 species